AGAUUGAACGCUGGCGGCAGGCCUAACACAUGCAAGUCGAGCGGUAGAGAGGUGCUUGCACCUCUUGAGAGCGGCGGACGGGUGAGUAAAGCCUAGGAAUCUGCCUGGUAGUGGGGGAUAACGCUCGGAAACGGACGCUAAUACCGCAUACGUCCUACGGGAGAAAGCAGGGGACCUUCGGGCCUUGCGCUAUCAGAUGAGCCUAGGUCGGAUUAGCUAGUUGGUGAGGUAAUGGCUCACCAAGGCGACGAUCCGUAACUGGUCUGAGAGGAUGAUCAGUCACACUGGAACUGAGACACGGUCCAGACUCCUACGGGAGCAGCAGUGGGAAUAUUGGACAAUGGGCGAAAGCCUGAUCCAGCCAUGCCGCGUGUGUGAAGAAGGUCUUCGGAUUGUAAAGCACUUUAAGUUGGAGAAGGCAUUAACCUAAUACGUUAGUGUUUUGACGUUACCGACAGAAUAAGCACCGGCUAACUCUGUG
rnacentral:rRNA from 1 species